UCUUUUGAGCUUACAUAAGAAAAUUAAGGCCAAUUGUAUAACUUAAAUGACAUAUUUGCCCAUUUUUGUGAAAUUAUGCUGGUGCAAAAUUGAGUACACGCCUAUCAUAGUGUCUGAGAAGGGGCCGUGUUGGCCUGAAUUGUCUCAAAAUUUAAAGGGAUUAAAAGGGAGGUCAUUGUUGUGCGUUUUAUCUUUGCCUUGCAUUUAACUUUUACAUUUUGAGUCUGCACCUGGCUAUAAUUGAUGUGUGUGAGAUUCGAAUGAAAUCCUAUAGGGAGUAUCAUGAUCUGUUUCAGUAGUUACAGUACAUGUUGACAAGCAUAUUUCUUUUGGUGAAAUUCAGCUUCCUACUGUUGAUGGCACCCACACAGCCCCAAGCCAUGCCACUCCCACUACCAUACUUGACUUUCAGCAUGAGGCACUUUCCUUUGUACACAUCGCUUUUUACCACCACACAUGUUUGACACCAUCUAAAGCCAAUUUGUUUAUCUUGAUGUCAUUAGAUCAGAGGACAUGGUUCCAGUAACCCAUAUCCUUAGUUUGUUUGACUCUGAUGAGACCAUGAUAAACAAAUUUGCAUUUGAUGCUGUCAAGCAUGUGUGCCAUUGACUGAAAUGUUAAAUACAUCAUUGCCGUGAUUAAGGCGAUUACAUUUCUAACCAAAUAUUAAACAUUGACAUGUUAUUUAGAAAGUCGAGAAUUUUAACUGAUUUGAUAUGACAAUAUGACCCGUUUCUUUUUUUCUGAAGAGAAUGGUGAUUUCAUCACAAUCUUCUAAUUUUUGUGAAGAGGCAACAAGGGAGAGAUGAACGCUAUCAAAAAUGUGGAGAUGGAUCUGGCAGCCGACCGCUUUGGCACACACCCAACAAGAAACAAAACAAUAAAGAAUACUAAAAUGCAUAA